AAUCAACGCUGGCGGCGUGCCUAACACAUGCAAGUCGAACGCGAAAGGGGAGCAAUCCCUGAGUAGAGUGGCAAACGGGUGAGUAACACGUGGGUGACCUGCCUUCGAGUGGGGGAUAACGUCCCGAAAGGGACGCUAAUACCGCAUGACAUCCUGCUCUUGGAAGAGCGGAGAUCAAAGCUGGGGAUCGCAAGACCUGGCGCUUGAAGAGGGGCCCGCGUCUGAUUAGCUAGUUGGUGAGGUAACGGCUCACCAAGGCGACGAUCAGUAUCCGGCCUGAGAGGGCGGACGGACACACUGGGACUGAGACACGGCCCAGACUCCUACGGGAGGCAGCAGUGGGGAAUUGUUCGCAAUGGGCGCAAGCCUGACGACGCAACGCCGCGUGGAGGAUGAAGAUCUUCGGGUCGUAAACUCCUGUCGAGCGGGAAGAACGUUUCGCGGAUGAAUAAGCCGCGGAAGUGACGGUACCGCUAAAGGAAGCCCCGGCUAACUCCGUGCCAGCCGCCGCGGUAACAC
rnacentral:rRNA from 1 species